rnacentral:rRNA from 1 species
UACGUAGGGGGCGAGCGUUGUCCGGAGUUACUGGGCGUAAAGGGCACGCAGGCGGUCUCGUAAGUUCGGAGUGACAGUCGUCGGCUUAACUGACGAAGGGCUUGGAAGACUGAGAGACUUGAGGGCUCAAGAGGGACAUGGAAUUCCGGGUGUAGUGGUGAAAUGCGUAGAUAUCCGGAGGAACACCAAAGGCGAAGGCAAUGUCCUGGGGAGUCACUGACGCUCAGGUGCGAAAGCCAGGGGAGCGAACGGG